CGCCAGCGGGCGGGGACACGGAGCUGUGCGCGCCGGGGCUGAACCCAGCUCGCCUCGGAGGUGGGUGCCCAGGACCCGGAGCAGCUGCAACAGGGCGUCCCUCCCUGUCCAAGGGUUUCCACUUCUGAGCGCAAAAGGGAAGAACUUAAGCGGGCGGCCAGUUGGAGUGUACAUUGCUCGGUAGUGUUUAAAAGCAGCACGGAUCGCGGGCAGCUGAGCCGUUUUGUCAGACUACCUGUGCAUGUCUUUACAUGAAAUCCUCCAUGGCACCCAACCCAAGGGAAAAGGAGAGAGAAAUUUACUGAAUAUACCAAAAGGGAGCAGUGGACAGACAGCAAAACAGAGACCGUCUACCUCUUCUACAAACACUUCAAAAUGAUUUAAGUGGCCUCUCAUUCUGAUUUUCUUUAAUAUUUAAUCUUUUAAAAAAAAUUUUGUCACUUUAGUAAGAACUUGGAAUUGAGAACAAGAAGACAUCACUUAAAGGGAGGAAUUUUGAUUAAGCCAUUCUCAUUAUUGUUCAGUCAAAUGGCAGAUCUGACAAUAAUUGACAAUAUCAAACAUUAUCUAGAAGCCAUAGUCUCAGUUGUCUAACCAGUAGAAAUAGGAAUAAUACAAAUAAUAAAAAUUGGAAACAACUAUAUUUACCUCUAUCAUUGUCUGCUUGCAUAUCUCGUAAAAGAGGAAAUAUACCCUUAGAGAAGUUUGCUUAUUUGUUUAGUCAAUCUACCGGAAGUGUUGAACUGUUUUAGGUGUAUUAGGCAAGAGCAAAUUAUACCUUUUGUGCAAAAACUGAGAUGACAUAGUCAGGAUUCAUAAUACUCUGUAUAACUCUUAAUGCUCUGUGGCCAACAACUGGUUAUCAGUGAGGAAAUCACAUAGGUAUCUAACAGGAAUUUGCCUUUGUUCAAAAGGCAUCUUCUUCUGAAUUUGUACACAAAUAAUAAUUGUUGGCUAUCAUGAUCACAACUAGUGCUCUAAAUGUGUAUCUAUUACAUUGCUAUUAAAGAUAUCAAUAAAAUGGAAAUCUACAUAUACAUUUAUAAAUACUUUUAAAUGUUGAGAUAUAUAAAGUGUUCACUAUCUUCCAAAAGAUGUUUCUUAAAUUUAAUAUAUUUAAGGAUACAUUGUAUAUAACAAAUACUU